AACUCCCAACCAAUGUGGGACUUUGGCAUUUUGCCAAACUUCAACAUAUCUGAUCUCAACUUAACGAUCGUUUUUCUUUCUUUGUCAGGAUUUUGGGGACAAUUAGCUAUUCUAGCUGAUUUCCAGUUGGUGACAAGAAAGAUGUGUCGAAAUUCCUUAUUGAAUUUGGCAAAACUCCUUCUCUUUCAUCCGCCAGAACCUAUGCAACAACUCCAUCAAUCUCUUGAAAAUUCUAUGUUGGUUGUUCACUGCUCAAACCACACUUCAAAAUUAUGAAACUGGAAGAGUGGCCAAUAAUUGCUCAAAUUCCCAUUGUAUGGGUUGAUAAUGCACUUCAAUAUAUGUAGCAUGCAAGAUCAUUGGUGGUAUUAUCAAGUCAAAGCACACUUGGUGAAUUGGCCAAAUCUGGUGCAUAUCCUCACCCAUGCCCAGGUAUGUUGGAUCGCUGUAAAGUGGUGGCCAUCUCUGUACCAUCAUCUGCCUUAGGACACAAGGAGAGUUGCCCUUCUCCAUCACUUCAGUAUGCAUCUAUAUGUCUGCGCAAAGGCAAGAAUGGCUCAGCAUUUGGAUUGAUGGUCAGCUCAUCUGUCACAUAAUGUUUAUUAGUUUCCCCAGUCGCUGGAUAUACAUCAAUAAUGAGGAUUCUUCGAUUCCAGUCCUUUGAAGAAGCAAAAGGUCAAGUACUGUUGGAAAGGCAAGGAAACAUAUGCUACUACUCAUUUCAAGUCAAUUCAUGGGAUCACAAAGGAAGAGCAUGAAUGGUCAGAAACAUGCCAUCUCUAUUUCACAGUUUUCUGUGUAGUAUGUAGCUGGAUAUUCAAGUCUUGCUUCAACUCAUGCUAACUCGUUGAUGUGACGGUGCCAAUUCCCCUUUCACUGCUUUGUUUUGUUUCUAGGUUUUCGUCCAAAUAUCAAAAGAAACCAGAAAGCAAUGUUUGACAGAAUGGAAACAUUUUGCCCGAAAUCAGAAAUUAGUAUGUAUUUGUGCUCUCUUCAAAGGGUAUGAAUUAGGUUUUUCUCAUCGUCAAACGAAUAUCUUUAUGUUAAAGCUGUAUAUAGAAGUUAAAUUCCAAAAAAGAAAAAAGAAAAAAGAGAGGAGAUAUCCAUCCAAUUCUUCUGUUGUUUUGCAUUUCUGUCUUUACUGUUAGCGUAAGCGUAGGAUGAAUAUUAACCUUGUACAUCUGGAGCUUGAUAAUCAUGGAAAGAUAUGUUGUACUCCUAGUGAUAUGUAAAAAUGCAGUAGUACAAUGCAAAGGUACAUCACCUAGAGCUUAGAAUUGUUUAGUUUUUUAUAUUCAUGUUACUAGACCAUCUUGUAAAAGUCGACAGAAAUCUUUAAUUUUUUUUUUUUUGUUAUGAGAAUUAUUGUCUCUGGAAUGGA